CGAAAGUUACGCUAAUACCGCAUACGCACUGAGGUGGAAAGCAGGGGAUCGCAAGACCUUGCGCUAUACGAGCGGCCGAUGUCAGAUUAGCUAGUUGGUAGGGUAAAGGCCUACCAAGGCGACGAUCUGUAGCGGGUCUGAGAGGAUGAUCCGCCACACUGGGACUGAGACACGGCCCAGACUCCUACGGGAGGCAGCAGUGGGGAAUUUUGGACAAUGGGGGAAACCCUGAUCCAGCCAUGCCGCGUGAGUGAAGAAGGCCUUCGGGUUGUAAAGCUCUUUCGGCUGGGAAGAAAUCGCACAGGCUAAUACUCUGUGUGGAUGACGGUACCAGCAUAAGAAGCACCGGCUAACUACGUG
rnacentral:rRNA from 1 species